UUCGCAAUGCCCGAAAGGGUGACGAAGCGACGCCGCGUGUGGGAAGAAGGCCUUCGGGUUGUAAACCACUGUCGGGAGUUAAGAAAUGUAAGGAUGUUAAUAGCGUCCUUACUUGACUAAGGCUCCGGAGGAAGCCACGGCUAACUCUGUGCCAGCAGCCGCGGUAAUACAGAGGCGGCAAGCGUUGUUCGGAAUUAUUGGGCGUAAAGAGCACGUAGGCGGCCUUGUAAGUCAGUUGUGAAAGCCUUCUGCUUAACGGAAGAACAGCAGCUGAUACUGCAAGGCUAGAGUGCGGAAGGGGAGAGUGGAACUUCUGGUGGAGCGGUGAAAUGCGUAGAUAUCAGAAGGAACACCGGCGGCGAAGGCGACUCUCUGGUCCGUAACUGACGCUGAGUGUGCGAAAGCUAGGGGAGCAAACGGGAUUAGAUACCCCGGUAGUCCUAGCCGUAAACGAUGGGCACUAAGUAGAGGGGUUUU
rnacentral:rRNA from 1 species